rnacentral:rRNA from 1 species
GUAGGAGGUGGGCCCUCUGGGUCAACCCUCCCACCCGUGUUUAUUUUACCUUGUUGCUUCGGCGGGCCCGCCUUAACUGGCCGCCGGGGGGCUUACGCCCCCGGGCCCGCGCCCGCCGAAGACACCCUCGAACUCUGUCUGAAGAUUGUAGUCUGAGUGAAAAUAUAAAUUAUUUAAAACUUUCAACAACGGAUCUCUUGGUUCCGGCAUCGAUGAAGAACGCAGCGAAAUGCGAUACGUAAUGUGAAUUGCAAAUUCAGUGAAUCAUCGAGUCUUUGAACGCACAUUGCGCCCCCUGGUAUUCCGGGGGGCAUGCCUGUCCGAGCGUCAUUGCUGCCCUCAAGCACGGCUUGUGUGUUGGGCCCCGUCCUCCGAUCCCGGGGGACGGGCCCGAAAGGCAGCGGCGGCACCGCGUCCGGUCCUCGAGCGUAUGGGGCUUUGUCACCCGCUCUGUAGGCCCGGCCGGCGCUUGCCGAUCAACCCAAAUUUUUAUCCAGGUUGACCUCGGAUCAGGUAGGGAUACCCGCUGAACUUAAGCAUAUCAAUAAG